rnacentral:rRNA from 1 species
ACGAACGCUGGCGGCGUGCUUAACACAUGCAAGUCGAACGGUGAAGCGCCUUCCUUUUUGGUGGGUGUGGAUGAGUGGCGAACGGGUGAGUAACACGUGAGUAACCUGCCCCCUUCUUCUGGAUAACCGCAUGAAAGUGUGGCUAAUACGGGAUAUUCUGGGUCUGUCGCAUGAUGGGUCUGGGAAAGAUAUUGUUUCGGUGGGGGAUGGGCUCGCGGCCUAUCAGCUUGUCGGUGGGGUGAUGGCCUACCAAGGCGGUGACGGGUAGCCGGCCUGAGAGGGUGGACGGUCACACUGGGACUGAGACACGGCCCAGACUCCUACGGGAGGCAGCAGUGGGGAAUAUUGCACAAUGGGCGCAAGCCUGAUGCAGCGACGCCGCGUGAGGGAUGGAGGCCUUCGGGUUGUGAACCUCUUUCGCCAGUGAAGCAGGCCUGCCUCGUUUGUGGGUGGGUUGACGGUAGCUGGAUAAGAAGCGCCGGCUAACUACGUG